rnacentral:rRNA from 1 species
ACACAUGCAAGUCGAGGGGUAUGGUUCUUCGGAACCAGAGACCGGCGCACGGGUGCGUAACGCGUAUGCAAUCUGCCUUUCACAGAGGGAUAGCCCAGAGAAAUUUGGAUUAAUACCUCAUAGUAUAGCGACAUCGCAUGAUGAUGCUAUUAAAGUCACAACGGUGAAAGAUGAGCAUGCGUCCCAUUAGCUAGUUGGUAAGGUAACGGCUUACCAAGGCAACGAUGGGUAGGGGUCCUGAGAGGGAGAUCCCCCACACUGGUACUGAGACACGGACCAGACUCCUACGGGAGGCAGCAGUGAGGAAUAUUGGUCAAUGGGCGCAAGCCUGAACCAGCCAUGCCGCGUGCAGGAUGACGGUCCUAUGGAUUGUAAACUGCUUUUGCACAGGAAGAAACACUGAUUCGUGAAUCAGCUUGACGGUACUGUGAGAAUAAGAAUCGGCUAACUCCGUGCCAGCAGCCGCGGUAAUACGGAGGAUCCAAGCGUUAUCCGGAAUCAUUGGGUUUAAAGGGUCCGUAGGCGGUCUGGUAAGUCAGUGGUGAAAGCCCAUCGCUCAACGGUGGAACGGCCAUUGAUACUGCUGGACUUGAAUUAUUAGGAAGUAACUAGAAUAUGUAGUGUAGCGGUGAAAUGCUUAGAGAUUACAUGGAAUACCAAUUGCGAAGGCAGGUUACUACUAAUGGAUUGACGCUGAUGGACGAAAGCGUGGGUAGCGAACAGGAUUAGAUACCCUGGUAGUCCACGCCGUAAACGAUGGAUACUAGCUGUUGGAAGCAAUUUCAGUGGCUAAGCGAAAGUGAUAAGUAUCCCACCU